UUUUUUUUUUUUUUUUUUUUUUACUGUUGCAAAUCCCCAAAUUAGUUAAUGUCAGAGUGUUCCUGGUUUAUACAUGAUCUAGACCUCACUUGUUUCUAAGUUAGAAAUGGUGAAUAAUGGCUGCAUCUGGUUGACUGACAAUUUCACCCUAUUUGCCUUUUAAUUCUCCCCACAUGCCAUCUUCCUCACUUGAUUUGCUUUCAGCGCUCCUUUAAAAGUCCAUUAGCUGUGGGUGCCUUCAUCAAAUUACAGGCAGUCUUCAAUUUACAAGAAUCCUCACAGCCCCUGUCACACCCCUGUUCUGACUUCCACGGCACUUAGGACGCAUCACUCAGCCUGCACAUCUCCCCAGCUCUCUGGCUCCUAAAAGCCCCCGCAUCCCCCACGCCCCCACUCCAAACCCCACCCCACCACAUCCAGGCAUCAGGAGGCGGACUCUGCUGGGCAAGGGUGCUUUUCUGGGAAGGGCUCUGGUCUUCAUCUUCUGGGACAUCCCUGGCUCCCAGCCUCAGGAAAAGGCCCUCUCCAAGGCCCAGGAAAAAAACAAUAAUAAUAAGUGGGCUUCUGUAGCAAAAGCCACGAAAAUUGCUAAUUUAAAAACACUUCUGGCGUUCCCGUCAUGGCUCAGUGGUUAAUGAACCCGAAUAGGAACCAUGAGGUUUCGGGCUCAAUCCCCGGCCUCACUCAGUGGGUUAAGGAUCCGGCAUUGCCGUGAAUUGUGGUGUAGGUCGCAGCUAUAGCUCCGAUUAGACCCCUAGCCUGGGUACCUCCAUGUGCCGCAGGUAUGGCCCUAGAAAAAAAACAAAAAAACCCAAACAAACAAAAUAAACACACUUCUUUGAAAGAUUAUUAGUGCAGGGGUGUCCAGUCGAGGGUGGGUGGUCCAGCUGCAUCUGUCUCGUGACCCCACAGCCCCAGCCCUCAGUAUGCUGGGUUCCAGGCUUGCUGCAAACUAGCAAGAGGAUGCAGGUGAGCACACGCACUUGGAGGCCAGAGAGGCAAAGCCUGUGCUAUUCGGAAAUGUGACUUGACCUCUCAGAGCCUGGUUCCUCAUCUAUAACACGGCAUUACAACAUCACCAUCACUUACUAAAAAUAUAUGACAUUACCUUGUAUUUCUCAAACCAGAGUCUGUUGAACUGAAUUCUUGAUACGGACGGAAGGUGAGGUGGGAGUGUGGUCCCGUGUCUGCUCAUGUGCUCAUGUUAAAUCAUUUUAUCUCUUUACAGAGGGAAUGAACUUUUCCUUAAUGAUGAUAUGCAAUUAAUGGAUACUUUCAGAAAAGAAAACUUCAGUUUCUUAAAUUGGGGCUGCUCACACUGCUUUCAUGGAUGCAUUCCCAGGUACAGGUCUCAGAGUAACUGCUGUGUGGUUACAGCUAAGAAAGAGCAGCCCUGGAGUUCCCAUUGUGGCUCAGCGGUAACAAACCCAACUAGUAUUCAUGAGGACACAGGUUUGAUCCCUGGCCUUGCUCAGUGGGUUAAGGAUCCAGCGUUGCCGUGAGCUGUGGUAUNUGUACGUCGCAGUCAUGGCUUGGAUCUGGCACUGGUGUAGGCCAGCGGCUACAGCUCAGAUUUGAUCCCUAGCCAGCGACCCUCCAUAUGACACCGGUGGGGCCCUAAAAAGAAAAAAAAAAGAAGGAAAGAAAAAGAAAUAGCAGCCCUGAGCCAGGGAUUUAUUAAAUAAUUUUUGUGAUUAGUCCCUAAGUCCAUUUUUCCUUAACUAAGGUAUUACUUUUAAAAUCCUGAUACCAAAUAGUAACUGAAAAUAUUUAGCUCCAUUUGGUUGAGAUUGGUGCCAUUCACCAAUAUUUCUGUUUCUCCUUUCCUGGCCACAAGGUGGGACUGCCCUUUUCCUGCAUAUGCCGUGGCCAAUGAAGUGUGCCUAGAAGUAACUUCCUCUCUCCCAAGGAGAAGCCUUUCACAGUCAGUUCCCACUUCACCCGUUGCUCCCCAGUGCCUUGGCAGAUGGCGCUAUUCCAGAUGGUCCAAGCUCUGCCAGCCUGUGCCUCGAAGGAGGGCACUGUGGAACAGAGGCCCCACCCACCCAAGAUGCACAUGGGAUAUGAGCAAGAGAUCCAACUUUGUAGUUAUGCAUCCCUAAGUUUGGUUGUUAUUUUUUAUUCAGUAUGUAUAUAAGCUAGCACAUUUUGACUGGUACACAGUGGAUUAAUCACUUGCAUAAAACCCUGGCUAUCACACCCUUGGUCUAAGAAUGUUAGCUUUCACUACAGCAUUGCCUUUUUCAGUAAGCUACCUUUCCCUAAAAGGUCAUCAGCCCUGAGAGGGAGAGUCACCUGCACUAAAUCCUACUCUUCCUGAAAGGUGAGCUGUCAUUCUCACCUGUCCACUGAUGGCUGGUACCUCUCUUUCCCUCUAAUGUCCUCUACGAGUCAUAUUUUUCAUUCUGUGCUUCCUACCUCAGCUCUUUUUGCUGAAGACAUGCUAGUCUUUUCGUCUCUUUUUCUACAUUACACCUUAACCUUGGAAUCACUUCUCAAUUCUCAUGUGCAAGCAACUAUCCUGCUCAUCAAACCUCAGGAACCUACCCAUUCAGAAGUCACCGUCAAUGAGGGAAGAGAUAGAGAAGAGAAAAUUAGAAUUUAUAAGGCCAUAGGCUCUCAAAGUUAAGGAUGCCUUUUAUUGCUGUAGCACUCAUUAAAUAUACCAUUAUUAAUAAUAAAUUCCCACUAUCCUAUCACAAAGAUAGGAUAGAAUGUUUGCAUGUUUGAAAAAUUCCAAAUGAAUGGAGGAUUUGAUUCACCCAAGUUAAAGAAAAUACUGUUUGGCAGGUCUAUCCACUGCAAAAAUCACUUCCUCAGUUUAUUAAUGAGAAAUGUAAAUACUUGUACAGUAGCCUGUGGGUGAGAUCAUGGUAGACAAAUCAACAAGGCAGCUAAUACAAUAUAUUAUUUCUUGUCAAUGAGGAAACAGGCCAUAACAAAGAGAAGCAAGCCCAAGCUCCAGCCCUCCCAGAACAAUUAAGUGAAGGGCUUGUCCGGAAGAGGAAGAGGGUUUAAUGGCUGAUUUCUCUGUAGAUAACCCUCUUCCAUGAGUUCUCUGGUCCUUGCUAAAUAUACAUAUUAGUUUGAGGGACUGAAAACCAUACCUCAGGCUUCUCUAACAAAGGGCUGCCAAUACCCAUUCCCAUUUCACGUAAAUAGUCUGAAGUCAUCUAAAUUACAUCGGACCCACAAAUUAGGUUUGAAACCAUAAAGCUUGUUACUGAAUGCCAACUCUUCUUUCCUAAUUAAAAAAUGUGACCCAAGAAUGCCAGAAAACAAAUUAAAUUAUGCUCACUCAGAGCCAUCUUCUCUUUACACCGCCCCUAGUCCAUCCCCUGAAUGUUUAUAGCAAAACAAGGUAGAGGAGAUAAUAAAAAAUCAUUACAGGCUGCAUUUUACAAUUAUUUUGUGAAAUUUCAUUAAUGUUGACAUUAUCGUGUACACACACAAACACACACAGACAAUAAAAUUAGAACAAUUCAACAGAGCUGAAAGCGUCUUUAGAUGCCUAAUGCCAUUACUGUGACGAUGAGGAGACAGAAUCCUAGAGGAAUCAAAUCCAGGACCAGAAUCCUAAUCAUAUAACCUCCAGUCAAGGACCCUCCCACCAGGACACAAGAGCCACAAGUGAAAAUAAACAGAAAGGAGAACAACAGGAAUCUGGUUCUGCCCCAACAUCUCUAAUUUUUUCCAGCAGUUGUUCCACCAUUGCAGUUAACUGUUAAUUGAACCUGCCUGCAUUUGCAAGGGGAAGGGAAGGAUGGAGGAAGGGGAGAACGAGGGGAGGGCCUUUGAGUUUAUUAGGAGAGAGUUGUCACAGAGAAAACCCUUUCCUUUGAAGCUGCACAUUUGCGAAUCAGCAUCUAUGACCUAGGAUAAGAAGAAUUAGCCACCUGCUAAAUCCCAACUUUCUGCUGACAUCUAAUCUCAGAGUUAGGGGUUCAUUACAAGACUUAGACUCUGCCAUCCCCCUUCACAGGUCUAGAGAAAGAAAAGAAAGAUAAAAAGCUGCAAAAAUGGUUACGAAGUUUAAUUAUUCAUAUGUCGGGCAAGUAAAACUGUCUUAUUGCUAAUACUUGGGUUACUGUGAGUUUAAACACCCUCUCCCCUCAAAGAGAGAGAAUGUAAGAAAUUAAUGGAAAAAAAUAUUUUCUUAAUUGUAUUUUAUAAAUAGGAGGUAAUAUAAAGGAUAAGCAAAUAAAUAUAAAAUUAGAGUUCUCUCGUGGCUCGGUGGGGUAAGGAUCCAGCUUUGUCACUUCUGUGGCUCUGGUUACAGCUGUGGCAUACUUGGAUCCCUGGUUUGGGAACUUCUGCUUGCCUUGGAUGUGCCCCGCCCCCCAAAAAAUAUAUGUAUGUGUGAAUAUUAUCAUUAAACGACAUAACACAUAAAACUAAACCAUAAAGCACUAAGUGAUUAUGAAUUGCUUUGAACAUACCCUUAACUUUGAUUCAUUCAACAAACAUUUACUGAGCAUAGACUAGGAACUGGAAAAGCACUAGACAAAAAAGGAAACUAAAAUCACCAAGACCUACACGCCUUAUUCAGUGAAGCUUAUAGCUUCUCAGAGAAGACAAUCCUCAGAUAACUGAUGAAUUACAAUAUGAGUUUGUGCAGCAAAGGGGAAUGACAAGCUCUUAUCUACUCCUCUGAUGUUUGGAUGACAGCAUCUAGGAACUAAAAAAAAAAUCUUAGAAGUAGAUAAUAUAUUUUUAAAUAACUUAAUCAUAAAAAUAAUAUGUAUAUUAUAGAAAAUUAGGAAAAUAAAGUAAGGAAACAAAAGAAAGUCUAUAGAACAGUAAUCUAUAAAAACACUAUUCACAGCGAUAAAGAUAAUAAUAGCUAUCAUUUAUAAGGAGGCACUAUUCUAAACAUUAGAUAACUAUUAUUUAAUUUUCAUAACAACCCUAUGAAAUAGGUCCUGUCAUUAUCCUCACUUUUAUUUAUUUGUUUAUUUAUUUGCUUUUUAGGGCCACACCUGCAGCAUACGGAGGUUCCCAAGCUAGGGGUCUGAUUGGAGCUGCACCUGCCGGCCUACACCACAGCCACAGCAGCAUCAGAUCCCAGCCACAUCUGCAACCUACACCACAGCUCACGGCAAUACCAGAUCCUUAACCCACUGAGCGAGGCCAGGGAUCAAACCCACAACCUCAUGGUUCCUAGUCAGAUUCGUUUCCACUGCGCCACAAUGGGAACUCCCAUCAUCCUCACUUUUAAACUUUUAAACUGAGGCAUAGAGAAAACAUCUACCAAAGUUUUGAUGUAUAGUUUUUCAUUUUUUCCAGUGCAUUUAUCAUAUACAUUUCUUUUCUUUUUAACCAAAUUAGAUUAACACAGUACACAUUCCUUUCUAAUAUGCUUUAAUACGUGCUAUUUACUCAACAAAAUAGCAUGAACAUUUCCCCACAAUAUUAACUAUUCUUCUGCCAUUUGAGCUUAAUACAGUAUAAUACACAUGAAGAAAAUAAAUAUCUUAAUGAUGCUUUUAAUAACUUUCAAACUCCUCUGACAAUUUUUCAGUACGUUUUCUCAACUUUUAAAAAUGCCAAAAUCUUAUCUACAAUGGUAUGGGUAGCUUGAAAGUACUUGCCCCUUUCACCCAUUGAUCCUAAGUUCUUAAUGGGAAUUCAAGCAUUAAACUCUGUGCUCCAGUAUAUAAAUAAAUCACAUGCCUUGACAUAAGAAUCCCUAUUUGGCUAUGCUUUCCCCAAGACAGAAAGGAUGCCUCCAGGACAAAUCAAUGUGCUUUAAGCUAUCUGAACUAAAACUGCUGCUUUUCCAUGAAGAAAAAUAAACAACCCACAAACCCCCAAAUGUUAAAGAUUUCCAAUAGAUCCCUUCACUUUGGGUUCCUUUAUUCCAAGUGGAAAUACUGAGCUGGCAUUGUAGGUAUGAUUCAGAGGUUGUUAUGCUAAAUGAAGUCCUACAACAAGUGAGCCAACAGAGCAUGUGUCAGACAGUCCAAACCCCAGUGCAUGAUAUUGAUGGGUAUUCUCAUUUUCUGUCAAUGCCUCCAGCAUUUGGAAAUGCUAAUGAUGCUAAUGCCGUCACUUCUCAUUAUAACCAGGUAUUUUUUAAGGUAACUAGACAUUCCCUGGGUGUAUUCAGAUAAAGCCUUUUUUUUUUUUUUUUGGAUUGGGUAUAGAUUGAGGAUUUUUUUUUUACAUUUAUUUUAUUGAAGUAUAGUUGAUUUAUACUGUUUUUUGGUUUUUGGUUUUGGGGG
rnacentral:lncRNA from 1 species